rnacentral:rRNA from 1 species
AGAGCGAACGCUGGCGGCAGGCCUAACACAUGCAAGUCGAACGGAUCCUUCGGGAUUAGUGGCGGACGGGUGAGUAACACGUGGGAACGUGCCCUUUGGUUCGGAACAACUCAGGGAAACUUGAGCUAAUACCGGAUAAGCCUUUCGAGGGAAAGAUUUAUCGCCAUUGGAGCGGCCCGCGUAGGAUUAGCUAGUUGGUGAGGUAAAAGCUCACCAAGGCGACGAUCCUUAGCUGGUCUGAGAGGAUGAUCAGCCACAUUGGGACUGAGACACGGCCCAAACUCCUACGGGAGGCAGCAGUGGGGAAUCUUGCGCAAUGGGCGAAAGCCUGACGCAGCCAUGCCGCGUGAAUGAUGAAGGUCUUAGGAUUGUAAAAUUCUUUACACCGGGGACGAUAAUGACGGUACCCGGAGAAGAAGCCCGGCUAACUCGUGCCAGCAGCCGC